rnacentral:rRNA from 1 species
AACGCGAAGAACCUUACCUACCCUUGACAUGGUCGGAAUCCUGCAGAGAUGCGGGAGUGCUCGAAAGAGAACCGGCGCACAGGUGCUGCAUGGCUGUCGUCAGCUCGUGUCGUGAGAUGUUGGGUUAAGUCCCGCAACGAGCGCAACCCUUGUCAUUAGUUGCUACGAAAGGGCACUCUAAUGAGACUGCCGGUGACAAACCGGAGGAAGGUGGGGAUGACGUCAAGUCCUCAUGGCCCUUAUGGGUAGGGCUUCACACGUCAUACAAUGGUACAUACAGAGGGCCGCCAACCCGCGAGGGGGAGCUAAUCCCAGAAAGUGUAUCGUAGUCCGGAUUGCAGUCUGCAACUCGACUGCAUGAAGUUGGAAUCGCUAGUAAUCGCGGAUCAGCAUGUCGCGGUGAAUACGUUCCCGGGCCUUGUACACACCG